AGCCAUGCAUGUCUAAGUACACAUUUUUAAUAAAAUGAAACUGCGAAUGGCUCAUUAAAUCAGCUACGGUUCCUUUGAUAAAACACAGUUACUUGGAUAACUGUGGUAAUUCUAGAGCUAAUACAUGCAACAAUGCCCUUUCUUUACGGGAAGGGUGCACUUAUUAGAUCAAAACCAACCGGCUUUCGGGUCGAAGUUUUGAUGACUCUGGAUAAUUGUUUCGAUCGCACGGCCUUAGUGUCGGCGACGUUUCUUUCAAAUGUCUGCCCUAUCACACUAUAGAUGGUAGGCAAAUUGUCUACCAUGGUUAUAACGGGUAACGGGGAAUCAGGGUUCGAUUCCGGAGAGGGAGCCUGAGAAACAGCUACCACAUCCAAGGAAGGCAGCAGGCGCGCAAAUUACCCACUCUCAAAACGAGGAGGUAGUGACAAAAAAUAACGAUGCGGGACUCAAUCGAGGCCCCGUAAUCGGAAUGAGUACACUUUAAAUCCUUUAACGAGGAUCAAUUGGAGGGCAAGUCUGGUGCCAGCAGCCGCGGUAAUUCCAGCUCCAAUAGCGUAUAUUAAAGUUGUUGCAGUUAAAAAGCUCGUAGUUGGAUCUAAGGAUUUGGACGGAUGGUACGCUUCAGGGCGUGACUGUCUGUCUGGCCUAUAUCAGUCGUGGAAGCCUUAAGUGCUCUUCAUUGAGUGCUUUUGGUGCCCGACGCCAUUACUUUGAGAAAAUUAGAGUGCUUAAAGCAGGCAUAAUGCUUGUAUACUGUUGCAUGGAAUAAUAAAAUAGGAGUUUGCUUCUAUUUUGUUGGUAUUCGGAAGUAAACUAAUGAUUAACGGGG
rnacentral:rRNA from 1 species